rnacentral:lncRNA from 1 species
GACCUGUGAAGCGAGGGGCUGGAGCAGAGAGAGCUGGGCAGGGGAGGUGAGAAGUCAGCCAGGACAGAGGCUCCGCUCCCACUUUGAUGUCUCCAGCCCAGGGCUUCCGGCAAGUCUGGGUGGGGUCCCAGCAGAAGGUUUCAGCUUUACCCCUCAUCCCAAAUUCUUGGAGAGAUCCAAUUAACCCCCUUCCUGUCUUCCAAGUACGAUGCUUAUCCAGAUUCCUGAUCCCAUCACGCACAAGCUCUUCCAUACUCGUGAAUGGUGUGCCCAGUGCACACUCAUGCCUCGUGCAGAUACAAGCAAGCACGCUCUUCUAUGCACACGAAUGCAUACACCGGACGCACCCUCACCUCUCCAUGCAGCGCAAGCCCGGUCUGUUCAUCAACCCCUGCAGACUUCAAAUCCAAGAGGCCUUUCCGCACACACAGAACUUGCAUUCAGAGUGCACGCAGCCACACACAUCACAGGCACAGGGCCACUCCAAUCUCGGCUUUCUAGGUCAGGGACAAGCCUGGCUGUGGGGUGGGUGAGGGCUAUUGAACCACUGACUCCAGAGGUCUCCCUAUAGUCUGGACUCUCCUUAGAGGACACUGCAGCAGGUCUGGAGUACUUCACUGCCAGGGGCUGCUCAUCUCAGGCUCUUCACAAUACCCUGAAGAAAUCACUCAGGAGAGCAAGAAGUCCCCCGGGAAACAUGCUCGGACCUCUCCAGGGCAGCCCUGCCCCAGGGACUUUGGCCAACAGUUCUGCCUUAGCUGCUGGUUUCCCAGACGGCUCGGAGUAGAUUACUCUGGAUCAAUUUAGCAAGAAGUUUCUCUUACUAAUGCAGUAGAAUGACCCCGGAGUGAAGAUGCCCAUGUCACUGUAAUUUAAGAGACAUUUACCAGGGGCCUACUUGAGGGGCACAGAAAUGAAGAGCAGGUCUCAGGCCCAGGUCUAGGGUACAUCUAGCACAUGGUGACUUCUGAGCCUUGGGGCAUGCAAGGUCAGCCUUCAGCUACUGGAACCCAUCUUUCGUCCUCUGUGCUGAGUGGUGCACUGUGGGGCAGGGACAGAGCAGAGCCAGGCUGGACCAGGAGUGAGGCUGGCUGACUUCUGUUCAAGCUGCCACUGCAGGGGACAUUCAGGCCAUCUGGCUCCAGCUGGCUCUAGGUUGGAGGCUGGGUCUUAUCAGCACUCCACCUCCUCUGGUCCCAGUCAAUCAGUGGUCUCCUCCCAGCCCUG